GAACUGCGAUAAGUAAUGUGAAUUGCAGAAUUCAGUGAAUCAUCGAGUCUUUGAACGCACAUUGCGCCCCCUGGCAUUCCGGGGGGCAUGCCUGUCCGAGCGUCAUUGCUGCCCUUCAAGCCCGGCUUGCGUGUUGGGUCAUCGUCCCCUCCGGGGGACGGGCCCGAAAGGCAGCGGCGGCUCCGCGUCCGGUCCUCGAGCGUAUGGGGCUUUGUCACCCGCUCGAUAAGGACCGGCCGGGCGCCAGCCGGCGUCUCCAACCUUUUUUUCUCAGGUUGACCUCGGAUCAGGUAGGGACACCCGCUGAACUUAAGC
rnacentral:misc_RNA from 1 species